GCUAGCUACAGGCUUAACACAUGCAAGUCGAGGGGCAUCAGGAAGAAAGCUUGCUUUCUUUGCUGGCGACCGGCGCACGGGUGAGUAACACGUAUCCAACCUGCCCUUUACUCGGGGAUAGCCUUUCGAAAGAAAGAUUAAUACCCGAUGGCAUAAUGAUUCCGCAUGGUUUCAUUAUUAAAGGAUUCCGGUAAAGGAUGGGGAUGCGUUCCAUUAGGUUGUUGGUGAGGUAACGGCUCACCAAGCCUUCGAUGGAUAGGGGUUCUGAGAGGAAGGUCCCCCACAUUGGAACUGAGACACGGUCCAAACUCCCACGGGAGGCAGCAGUGAGGAAUAUUGGUCAAUGGGCGCUAGCCUGAACCAGCCAAGUAGCGUGAAGGAUGAAGGCUCUAUGGGUCGUAAACUUCUUUUAUAUAAGAAUAAAGUGCAGUAUGUAUACUGUUUUGUAUGUAUUAUAUGAAUAAGGAUCGGCUAACUCCGUGCCAGCAGCCGCGGUAAUACGGAGGAUCCGAGCGUUAUCCGGAUUUAUUGGGUUUAAAGGGAGCGUAGGUGGACUGGUAAGUCAGUUGUGAAAGUUUGCGGCUCAACCGUAAAAUUGCAGUUGAUACUGUCAGUCUUGAGUACAGUAGAGGUGGGCGGAAUUCGUGGUGUAGCGGUGAAAUGCUUAGAUAUCACGAAGAACUCCGAUUGCGAAGGCAGCUCACUGGACUGCAACUGACACUGAUGCUCGAAAGUGUGGGUAUCAAACAGGAUUAGAUACCCUGGUAGUCCACACAGUAAACGAUGAAUACUCGCUGUUUGCGAUAUACAGUAAGCGGCCAAGCGAAAGCAUUAAGUAUUCCACCUGGGGAGUACGCCGGCAACGGUGAAACUCAAAGGAAUUGACGGGGGCCCGCACAAGCGGAGGAACAUGUGGUUUAAUUCGAUGAUACGCGAGGAACCUUACCCGGGCUUAAAUUGCAGUGGAAUGAUGUGGAAACAUGUCAGUGAGCAAUCACCGCUGUGAAGGUGCUGCAUGGUUGUCGUCAGCUCGUGCCGUGAGGUGUCGGCUUAAGUGCCAUAACGAGCGCAACCCUUAUCUUUAGUUACUAACAGGUUAUGCUGAGGACUCUAGAGAGACUGCCGUCGUAAGAUGUGAGGAAGGUGGGGAUGACGUCAAAUCAGCACGGCCCUUACGUCCGGGGCUACACACGUGUUACAAUGGGGGGUACAGAAGGCAGCUAGCGGGUGACCGUAUGCUAAUCCCAAAAGCCUCUCUCAGUUCGGAUCGAAGUCUGCAACCCGACUUCGUGAAGCUGGAUUCGCUAGUAAUCGCGCAUCAGCCACGGCGCGGUGAAUACGUUCCCGGGCCUUGUACACACCGCCCGUCAAGCCAUGGGAGCCGGGGGUACCUGAAGUACGUAACCGCAAGGAUCGUCCUAGGGUAAAACUGG
rnacentral:rRNA from 1 species